GAAUAUGAAGCGAUAAUUUGCAAUUAGUUUCGACCUAAUCUUAGAUGAAUAUUACAUCCUUAUUCU
rnacentral:tRNA from 1 species